UACUCCUACGGGAGGCAGCAGUGGGGAAUAUUGCACAAUGGGGGAAACCCUGAUGCAGCGACGCCGCGUGAGUGAAGAAGUAUUUCGGUAUGUAAAGCUCUAUCAGCAGGGAAGAACAUGACGGUACCUGACUAAGAAGCCCCGGCUAACUACGUGCCAGCAGCCGCGGUAAU
rnacentral:rRNA from 1 species